CCGGAUUAAUACCGCAUAUGCUCUACGGAGCAAAGUGGGCCUCUGAUUUAAGCUCAUGCUUUGAGAUAAGCCUAUGUCGGAUUAGCUUGUUGGUGGGGUAAAGCCUACCAAGGCGACGAUCCGUAGCUGGUUUGAGGAGGAUGAUCAGCCACCACUGGGACUGAGACACGGCCCAG
rnacentral:rRNA from 1 species